AUGCCUUACACAUGCAAGUCGAACGGCAGCACGGGUGCUUGCACCUGGUGGCGAGUGGCGAACGGGUGAGUAAUACAUCGGAACGUGUCCUGUAGUGGGGGAUAGCCCGGCGAAAGCCGGAUUAAUACCGCAUACGAUCUACGGAUGAAAGCGGGGGAUCUUCGGACCUCGCGCUAUAGGGGCGGCCGAUGGCGGAUUAGCUAGUUGGUGAGGUAAAGGCUCACCAAGGCGACGAUCCGUAGCUGGUCUGAGAGGACGACCAGCCACACUGGGACUGAGACACGGCCCAG
rnacentral:rRNA from 1 species